CGCCAGACUCCUACGGGAGGCAGCAGUGGGGAAUAUUGGGCAAUGGGCGCAAGCCUGACCCAGCAACGCCGCGUGAAGGAAGAAGGCUUUCGGGUUGUAAACUUCUUUUAAGAGGGACGAAACAAAUGACGGUACCUCUUGAAUAAGCCACGGCUAACUACGUGCCAGCAGCCGCGGUAAUACGUAGGUGGCAAGCGUUAUCCGGAAUUAUUGGGUGUAAAGGGUGCGUAGACGGGACAGCAAGUUAGUUGUGAAAGCCCUCGGCUUAACUGAGGAACUGCAACUAAAACUAUUGUUCUUGAGUGCAGGAGAGGAAAGCGGAAUUCCUAGUGUAGCGGUGAAAUGCGUAGAUAUUAGGAGGAACACCAGUGGCGAAGGCGGCUUUCUGGACUGUAACUGACGUUGAGGCACGAAAGUGUGGGGAGCAAACAGGAUUAGAUACCCCGGUACU
rnacentral:rRNA from 1 species